ACGAAAUGAGAUUCUUAUUCCUGUAUCCGGUAUCGCAUCGGCACACGGUUUGUAUAUCCCGCCACGUACGCCAUGUCGAGAGUUACGUUCACGUAACGGAAGUAGGUAGCAGACAACGUAGUCGUUUUUUUUUUAUCACGCCGCGAAAUCAUCAUGGCGCCGUCUCGACGUUGCGAUAUAAGUGCGAUGUAUUGAGAAUCCCCGGCACUCGCACGAGAUCGCAAUUGAGAUUUCCAAGUUGGAAAGUACGAACAUAAGUACGUCCGAGCGACCGUAAACGCCACAAGAUUACAUAACGGACGCGUUAAUAACUGCAAAAUGCCCGUGGUACCUGGAGGAGCCUAUCAGCAAGGACCGACUUGUUUCGACAAGAUGAAGUUAGGUUUUACAAUUGGAUUUUGUGUGGGAGCGGUAUCCGGUGUACUCUUCGGAGGAUUCUCCGCGUUUAGAUACGGACUGAGGGGAAAAGAAUUGUUCAGCAAUAUUGGCAAAGUGAUGAUUCAAGGCGGUGGUACGUUCGGGACGUUUAUGGCUAUCGGAACAGGAAUACGAUGCUAGUGCGUGGUCGGAAGCUGUAAACGGCAUGGUGAUCUUUGAGAGGAGCUUGCUGCUUUAUGAGUUGCAACUGUGUUUGUAAUGAUUUGUCUUCCCAGGGAUGUUGAGCCCGAAACUCAAAUGCCUAAUCUUAUGCGUCAUAUUGAAGUGAGUGGUAGUGUAAGGCUGAACGUCGUGCACUGUGGCAUUAAAGAACACGUUCGUGAAAAGGGACGUUGCUUAAAAGGAGAACCUAAGAAUUCUGCGACAACACUGGAAGUGCCUUUGCAAAAGGAAAAAA